UACGGAGGAUGCGAGCGUUAUCCGGAUUUAUUGGGUUUAAAGGGUGCGCAGGCGGCACGGCAAGCCGGCGGUCAAAUCGCGGGGCUCAACCCCGCCCAGCCGUCGGAACUGUCGGGCUAGAGUGGGCGAGAAGUGCGCGGAAUGCGUGGUGUAGCGGUGAAAUGCAUAGAUAUCACGCAGAACUCCGAUUGCGAAGGCAGCGCACCGGCGCCCUACUGACGCUCAGGCACGAAAGCGUGGGUAUCGAACAGG
rnacentral:rRNA from 1 species